GGGGGGUCUGGAGGUGGACAUUGCAAAUUCUUCUCUGGGGCGGUGGAGCAAGAGCACAGAGUCUGUCCACAGAGUCUGUCCCAUCAAUCCCAGCCUUGUCCAUCCGUCCCACGGAACCAAAGGCUUUCUUGUGGGCCAGAGCGCCCCUAUAUCUCAGGAACCGGGAAGUGGGCCUCAUCGAAGGUUAGAUACCUUCUUCCAUCAGUAACAUUAUUAACGCUUGUUUAAUUCGUUACCCAUCCUUCACUCUAAGGUACCAGGUCAGGCAACAAGGUAAGAAGGUAAGAAGAGCCUGCUGGAUCAGGCCAAUGGCCCACUUGUUCUCACAGUGGCCAGACGGAUUCCUGUGGGAAAGCAGCAAGCAGGAUUCGAACACAGGAGCCUGUGGUUUCCAGCAACUGGUACUCAGUUUGCAUUGGGGGGAAAGUUCCUGGUGGAAAUUCCAGCUUGAGAGGAACCAUUGUCAUCUAGGCAUCUGCGGGGGUUUAAAUUCCUCCUAAAGGUUUAAAUUCCCCCUCCGUGCUUGCUGUGAACUAUCAGCCCAAGUGAUGCAAAAAGCAUUUUUUAAAAGCUGCACAUUAGAUGCGUUUUAUGCCGCGUGCAGUUUGGAGCUCAAGUUGAAAGGGAAGUGUGACCAGCCAGUGGGAGAAGCCGUCUCUCUUUUUGCUCGCCAAACUCCCCCCACCCACAGCACUGACCACAGAGACAUCGCUUUCCUCUUCACCAUAAGCGCAGCUCUCAGAAUGAUGUGUAAUCUCAACCCACAGUCUUGAAAAACCCUACAGUAUCCCCCAUGCACCAGGAGGCAGACGGCGUUGCGGGGACCAGACGGCAUUUCCUCAAUUCCUCUUUCCUAGGAAGAGGGAAGAGGGGGCAGGAUGGUUGCAAAAGCCCCCGCUGGAGACAGAUGAAUGUUGGAGAGCUGGAGGCGGCGACGGCGGAGGGGUUCCUGCCUGUGACACUCUUUGAGGAAGGAGGAAAGAGCAGCGAUGAUGCUCUUUUCAAUCCCCAGAGAGCUAGGGGGGGUGUUGAAAGAAAGGGGGAGCCUGGUUUUGGUACAAAUCUGUCAUCCCGUUUUCAUCACUGGGAGAACAAGUCUCUGAGUGCAGUUUGAACAAAAGUGAAAAUAGGACGCACACACACACACAGCACAGGAAACAAACUCUGUCUCUAAUCAGCUUCUCAGUUACUUCUGUGUUAAUAACUUUACAUAUACUGUACACAGACAUGUACGUACUUUAAUCUGCAGUUCUAUAUUGCAAUGUAUGGUUUUAUUCAUUCUGCAUGUUUUAUAAACUUGCUUUUCACGUUGAUUUUUUAAAAAUCGACACCUCUUUUAUAUUCUUCAUAAACGGUUUUCUUUACAGUGAAGCAGUACGCAAAUAUUAUUAAAUAAACAACUGUGGGCACUUGGCAUCAAACACCGGCAUAUUGGAACCAGAGUGAAUGGUUUCCUUCAAGGAACUCAAAGGGACACACAUCAUUCUCCUCCUCCCCAUUUUAUCCUUGCAACAACCCUGUGAGGUAGGUUAGGUGGAGAGUAAAUGACUGGGCCUUGGUCACCCAGUGAGCUUCAGUGGGGAUUUGAACCCGUGUCUCCCAGGUCCCAGUCUGACACUCUAACCCAUGGGUAGGCAAACUAGGGCCCAGGGGCCAGAUCCGGCCCAAUUGCCUUCUAAAUCCAACCUGCGGAUGGUCCGGGAAUCAGCGUGUUCUUACAUGAGUAGAAUGUGUCCUUUUAUUUAAAAUGCAUCUCUGGGUUAUUUGCAGGGCAUAGGAAUUCGUUCAUAUUUUUUCCCCAAAAAUAUAGUCUGGCCCCCCACAAGGUUUGAGGGACAUUGGACCGGCUCCCUGCUUAAAAGGUUUGCUGAGCCCUGCUGUAACCACUAUGCAACACAGCCUCAUCAGCUGCCAUUCCACCUGGCUGCACAAGAAGGACAGUAGCAGCCUUAGCUCCUGGACAUCCUUAUCUUCCUCCUCCCUCUCUGGCCCUUUCCCCAGUUCUAUUAUAUGAGUAAGCCAUUAACGUAUUUUAAAAAACAGUAAACUGCAUUGAAUUGGUAAAUUGGUAGAAAAGUGACCUAUAAAUGUAAUUAAUACUUUUUUAAAAAAGAGAGAGAACGUGCAGCUCUUGCCUUCAACGGGGGGGGGGGGGGGACAGGGAAGGAGGGGAAAAUCCUGCAUAUACUGAAAAGCAUCUACCAACUGCCCCAAUUUCCAGAAUUUUUACAUACAAAAUAUUCUGGCAACUGGCCUGGGGGUCAAAAACAGGCCAGACUGGUGCUGUUGCCAUUUCCGCAUAGUUGCAGGUUGGUGUUAGAGAGGGGGGCCCCAUGUCUUUAAGAGAUCGAAGGCUGCUUGCAUCACAUACCCCCCCCCCCAAGGUCCCUAUUCUCCAGGGACAGUCCUGGAAUUACGAAAGCCAUCCCAGCUUUUGAUUUCAUCUUGAAAGGUCCCUAUUUCCCCCCCGCCAGUGCUGCCAGCGGGGAGCUCAGGGAAGAGGAUGAGCUGGGUGUCAGGAAAAGGCAACAACUUAUUUUCUUGUUGUGUGUGGGUUGUUGUUGUUGUUUAACUCCCAGAGAAGCAGAGCGGUGCUUGUGGGAUAUUCUGCCUCAGGCGUCUAAAUAACAUGACCAAUGUUGGUCGUGCCUGGGCUGCUUUCAGAUCAGAUAACCUGUUCAUUAAGCUUUCUUGCCGAUCUGUUUGCACAGAGUUUCUUAAAGUUCAGGUGACAUUGGCUUGUCAUUUAUUUCUUUAUGCCUUUAUUUAUUUCUUAUCAAGAAAAGUCUGCGGGGGUUUUUUCCGAGGGGGGAGGAAGUGUUUUUUGGGAGGGGUGUUUCUAAGACUGAGGUGAAACUGUGACACUCCCUUGUUAUUUUUGCUCUUCUUAGAUGCUACAUGUUGUUUAAGUAAUCUUGCAAUGUUUUUAGUACCAAAAUGUGGGGUUUUUUGUUUGCUAUUGUUUUGCUGUUGUUAUAAAACUGCUUUAGAAGUGUUCGUUUGAAAUGUAUUCCUGUUUUCUUUUCUUUUUUUGUAAGCCGUUUUGAGCCUCUCUUUUUUUUUUGCGUGAAAAAGCUGCAUAUAAGAUAAAAUGAAUGGAUGAAUGUUCCGCAGGAGAUCAGUUCUAAUUGCACAGCCUGGAUUACCCAGUAUGCAACUGAAUUCCACCCCAAAACUUAUUUCUCUAUUACAUCCAUAUCCCACCUUCCUUUCAAGAAACUCAAGGUGGUGCGCAAUAGUUCUCUCACAGUUCUAAAGUGGUAUGUUAUUGUUUUAAAUGAAGAGUGUGGAUGGGACCAUAACUUUUAAAAGUGUAACUUUAAGAAUUUGUGCUUUCUUUUUCCUACCCACCACCCUGAUCCUUUUCACUUGCAUAUUGAAUCUUUUUAUAUCAUAAGCCUGGAGGCAGAGAUCACCUAAGAAUUGGUUUUUGUGAAGGCAUUCUGAAAGCCACCCCCCCACCCCUUUUUGUUUUUUUGCUAAAGACAUGGCCACUGGUCCCAUCACCUCUGGCAAAUAGAAGGAGAAGAAAUGGAAGCAGUGAGAGAUUUUACUUUCUUGGGCUCCAUGAUCACUGCAGAUGGGGACAGCAGUCACGAAAUUAAAAGACACCUGCUUCUUGGGAGAAAAUCAACGACAAACCUAGACAGCAUCUUAAAAAGCAGAGACAUCACCUUGCCGACAAAGAUCCGUACAGUUAAAGCUAUGGUUUUCGCAGUAGUGAUGUAUGGAAGUGAGAGCUGGACCAUAAAGAAGGCUGAUCGCCGAAGAAUGGAUGCUUUUGAAUUCUGGUGCUGGAGGAGACUCUUGAGAGUCACAUGGACUGCAAGAAGAUCAAACCUCUCCAUUCUGAAGGAAAUCAGCCCUGAGUGCUCACUGGAAGGACAGAUCCUGAAGCUGAGGCUCCAAGACUUUGGCCACCUCAUGAGAAGAGAAGACUCCCUGGAAAAGACCCUGAUGUUGGGAAAGAUUGAGGGCACAAGGAGAAGUGGAUGACAGAGGACGAGAUGGUUGGACAGUGUUCUCGAAGCUACCAGCAUGAGUUUGACCAAACUGCAGGAGGCAGUGGAAGACAGGAGUGUCUGGCGUGCUCUGGUCCAUGGGGUCACGAAGAGUCGGACACGACUAAACGAGUAAACAACAAGGUUUUUAAUGAUGCAAGCAAAUGAGUAAAUAAAUAAUGGUGUCUAUUCCAGACAUAAUAUUUGCUUCAUGAAUGAUGCAAACAGGAGUCCCCAACAAAGGAGUGUUAUUUAAUACUGAGGAGUUGCUCAGUCGGUACAGCGUAAGACUCCUAAUCUGAGGGUCAUCGGUUUGAGCCCCACUUAGGGGGGGGGGAAAUUCCUGCAUUGCAGGGGGCUGGACUAGAUGACCCUCGUGGUCCUUUCUAGCUCUAGAAUUCUGUGAUUCUGUGAACUCUUACAACAGGUGUAAGCGAAUCUGUGGCUUUCCAGGUAUGUGGUCUAAACCACUGAGUCUCUCGGGCUUGCUGAUCAGAAGGUUGGUGGUUUAAAUCCCCACAACGGGGUGAGCUGCCAUUGCUCUGUCCCAGCUCCUGCCAAACUAGCAGUUCAAAAGCAUGUCAGUACAAGCAGAUAAAGAGGUACCACUGCAGUGGGAAGGUAAAUGGUGUUUCCAUGCGCUCUGGUUUCCAUUGUGUGCCAGAAGAGGUUUAGUCAUGCUGGCCACAUGACCCAGAAAGCUAUCUGUGGACAAACACCGGCUCCCUCGGCCUGAAAGCGAGAUGAGUGCCACAACCCCAAAGUCGCCUUUGACUGGACUUAACUGUCCAGGGGUCCAAAGCCAGCGUGGUGUAGUGGUUAAGAGCGGUGGACUCGUAAUCUGGGGAACCGGGUUCGCAUCUCCGCUCCUCCACAUGCAGCUGCUGGGUGACCUUGGGCUAGUCACACUUCUCUGAAGUCUCUCAGCCCCACUCACCUCACAGAGUGUUUGUUGUAGGGAAGGGAAAAGAGAUUGUUAGCCGCUUUGAGACUCCUUCGGGUAGUGAUAAAGCUGGAUAUCAAAUCCAAACUCUUCUUCUUCUACCUUUUUUUUAACCUUUAUAGGUCCUAUCACCUUGGUGGUGCUGGCUGGGGGAUGGGGGAAAAUGGGAGUCUAGCAAAAUUGAUUGGUUGUCUGACUGACUGUGUUUAUAUCUCACCUUUUUCUCCAAUGAGCAGAAGGUGGCACGCAUUGUUCUCCCCCUCCUCAUUUAAUCCCCACAACAACCUUGUGAGGUAGGUUAGGUUAGGCUGAGAGGCAGCGACUGGCCCAAGGUCACCCAGUGAGCUUCGUGGCUAAGUGGGGAUAUGAACGCAGGUCUUUCAGGUCCCAUUCCAACACUCAAACCAUUACACCACCAUAGCAACAGUUCGCAAAGGCGUCCUGGCUGCUGACCAGGUCAGGCAGCGAAGAAUUUCCUGCUGCUCUAACUCCGGCCGUAAAACAUCCCUGUUUUGGAAUCAGCAAAAAUUCCCCUGGAGCUGAACAAAGUCCUUGGGCUGAUCUCCUCUGCAAGGAUGGAUGGGAGGGAGCAAGCGGGGGGGGGGUGCGGAGAGGAACAGGCUGUAGAAAAUGGGAUCAAGGGCUACACUGGCAAGUGAAAGGUCACAUUCAUCACCGAGAGGGGAGGAAGAGGGCAGCUGAGGUAGCAGAAGAGGGUCCAGGGUGACUCUCUGGAGAAAGGAGGGGAGGUCAGGAUGUCCCGAAGAAAAAGAAAACCUCUCCCUUGAAAUAUGGCUGGAUUGUGAGGAGUGGCAAGGAGGGACAGGGUCGUUUUAUUUGAGAGGGGUUUUGGGGGGGGGUGGCUGCAGGGUAUGCUGGGAUUCGAGAUGCGCACAGAAAUUUGAAAUCCCAGCAGCUCAUCCUGGUCUAUCCGCAGCAAUCUUGCCUCAAUUUCCCUUUGCGACAGAAAGCACAUGAGCGCUGGGAACACACCGGAGUAAGCAGUAACACGUACACAGCCUGUAUAUGUUCUGCAACAGAUGCUAUGGCUGCUGUCUGGGGUGUGUCUUCUUUUUUUAUUGUUUUUAUUUGAUUUUACAAAUAUAAAUUUAUAACGAAACCAGGUACAUAUCCAUAUACAGUAGAGAGAUUUCUCUGAAUCUCGAGACUUCCCCUCCAUGGUUCCUAAUGUCAACUUUUCAACUGCAUAUUAUGUCACAGUCUAUAUUUUAUAUCUGUCCAUAUUAUCCAUAGUAAUUGCAACAUGACAAGUGAGAUUAAAAUGCUGUUAAUGUUUUCAUCUGUUUACAGUAGUUUCCUAGGUAAAUUAUAAAUUCUCCCCAUUCUUUCUUGAAAUUUUUGUCGUCUUGGUCCCUGAGCUUUCUGGUCAGUUUUGUCAUUUCGGCAUAUUCUAACUGCCUGAUUUGCCAUUUCUCUCUGGUAGGGACUUGUCUUCUUUCCAUCUCUGGGCUAAUAGCAUCCGUGCUGCUCUUGUCACAUACAUGAAAAGUCUUUUCUGUUCCUUUGGGAUGUCAGUACCUACAAUUCCUAAUAAAAAGGCUUCUGGGUUUUUUUACAAAAAAUAUUUUAAACAUUUUUUCCAAUUCAUUAUAUAUCACUUCCCAGAAAGCCUUUACAGUGGUACCUCGGGUUAAGUACUUAAUUCGUUCCGGAGGUCCGUUCUUAACCUGAAACUGUUCUUAACCUGAAGCACCACUUUAGCUGAUGGGGCCUCCCACUGCCGCCACGCUGCCGGAGCCCGCUUUCUGUUCUCAUCCUGAAGCAAAGUUCUUAACCCGAGGUAAUAUUUCUGUGUUAGCGGAGUCUGUAACCUGAAGCAUCUGUAACCUGAAGUGUCUGUAAACCUGAGGUACUACUGUAUAACUUUACAUGACCACCAUAUAUGUUUAAAAGGGUGUGAUAAAGCGGGAUAUCAAAUCCAAACUCUUCUUCUUCUUCUUUACAGUGGAGGAAAACACACUGGUUCUAGAAUAAUAAUAAUAAUAAUAAUAAUAAUAAUAAAGCAUCAAACAUUAAAAGCUUCCCUGAACAGGGCUGCGUUCAGAUGUCUUCAAGAAGUCAGGUAGUUGUUGUUCUCUUUGACAUCUGGUGGGAGGGCGUUCCACAGGGCGGGUGCCACUACUGAGAAGGCCCUCUGCCUGGUUCCCUGUACAGCAAAAAUGAAAUUCCUUGAUGAAAGUAUCACAUCCCCUUCCCUCCAACUCUACAGUUCUGUGUUUCUAUGAUCCACUUGCCUCUCUUUUGCAAAGUCCUUGAGGUAGAGGUCCGCCUUUCCGCCACCUUACUUUGUUCCUCUGCAAAGUAAACUGAAGGACAUUAAUACCCACCACGGAUGAGUCAGGGCAGGCCAGCAGGCUAGGUCUUAACCCCAGUUGGCUUCCUUCACCCGGAUCCGCCUGAGGCCAUCUGCUUGCUUGGGGAAGGGGGGAAAAAAUCUCCCACCCUGAAGGCUAAUCUUCUUUAAUCUCUGUCAAUUGGAUCUGUGCCUUUGUUCCACCAGUCAGCGGGAGACCAGCACGUUGGCUCAGUGAGAGAGAGGCAGGCAGCCCUGUGGUUUCUGGGCAGAACACGUGUCUGCCAUCCGUGGGGCAACCCCUUGGCAUAAUAACACUGUGCUACAUCCACAAAUGUUUCUGUUUUCAUUUUUGGCAGGGUGGCAGCUAUAUAACACCGACUCAAACUACCUAAAUCAUCCAGAACAGGGUAAGACCAAGCACAGUGCUUUCAAAGCAUCCAGUCAGGUUGGCAUUUGUUGUUGUUUAGUCGUUUAGUCGUGUCCGACUCUUCGUGACCCCCUGGACCAGAGCACGCCAGGCACUCCUGUCUUCCACUGCCUCCUGCAGUUUGGUCAGACUCAUGUUUGUAGCUUCGAGAACACUGUCCCACCAUCUCGUCCUCUGUCGUCCCCUUCUCCUUUUGCCCUCAAUCUUUCCUAACAUCAGGGUCUUUUCCAGAGAGUCUUCUCUUCUCAUGAAGUGGCCAAAGUAUUGGAGCCUCAGCUUCAGGAUCUGUCCUUCCAGUGAGCACUCAGGGCUAAUUUCCUUAAGAAUGGAGAGGUUGGAUCUUCUUGCAUUCCAUGGGACUCUCAAGAGUCCCCUCCAGCACCAUAAUUCAAAAGCAUCAAUUCUUUGGCGUCAGGUUGGCAUAGCAUCCCCCAAUCUGGUGUCCAGGGCAGCUGUCUACCAGCUCCAGCUGGUACACAGGAUGAGACCCUCCCUGCCUGCAGACUGUCUCGCCAGAGUGGUGCAUGCUCUGGUUAUUUCCCACUUGGACUACUGCAAUGUGCUCUACAUGGGGCUACCUUUGAAGGUGACCCGGAAACUACAACUAAUCCAGAAUGCAGCCGCUAGACUGGUGACUGGGAGUGGCCGCCGAGACCGCAUAACACCGGUCCUGAAAGACCUACAUUGGCUCCCAGUAUGUUUCCAAGCACAAUUCAAAGUUGGUGCUGACCUUUAAAGCCCUAAACGGCCUCGGUCCAGUAUACCUGAAGGAGUGUCUCCACCCCCAUCGUUCAGCCCGGACACUGACGUCCAGCGCCGUGGGCCUUCUGACGGUUCCCUCACUGUGAGAAGUGAGGUUACAGGGAACCAGGCAGAGGGGCUUCUCAGUAGUGGCGCCCGCCCUGUGGAAUGCCCUCCCAACAGAUGUCAAGGAAAUAAACAAUUAUCCGACUUUUAGAAGUCAACUGAAGGCAGCCCUGUUUAGGGAAGUUUUUAAUGUUUGAUGUGUUAUUGUGUUUUUAAUAUUCUGUUGGGAGCUGCCCAGAGUGGCUGGGGAACCCCAGCCAGAUGGGCGGGGUAUAAAUAUAUUAUUAUUAUUAUUAUUAUUAUUAUUAUUAUUAUUCCCUCCAGAUGGUUUGGACAAUGGCACCCAUCAGCCUCAGCUAGGAUGGACGUGGUGUCUAGAGCAUGGGUAGGCAAACUAAGGCCUGUGGGCUGGAUCUGGCCCAAUCGCCUUCUAAAUCCGGCCCGUGGAAGGUCUGGGAAUCAGCGUGUUUUCACAUGAGGAGAAUGUGUCCUUUUAUUUAAAAUGCAUCUCUGGAUUAUUUGUGAGGCCUGCCUGGUGUUUUUACAUGUGUAGAAUGUGUGCUUUUAUUUAAAAUGCAUCUCUGGGUUAUUUGCGUGGCAUAUGAAUUCGUUCAUUUUUAUUUUUCCCCCCAAAAUAUAGUCCAGCCCCCCACAAGGUCUGAGGAACAGUGGACCGGCCCCCUGCUGAAAACGUUUGCUGACCCCUGGUCUAGAAUCUCCACCCCCUGGUCUGCCAGGGGCUGCUCUCUGCAUUUCAGAGUGCCAGGCUCCUCAGAAGGCAUGCCUAGGAGAUCCUUUUAUUGUGGCAUUUCAGCACCAGACCCGUUACAGGAGCGUUUUUGUGCUGAUAAGAGUCCACUAAGUUGCUUUAAAAACCCACCAAGUUCAGUCAAUAGGACUGAGGCCUCAUCCUCUCUCUUUUGGCUGACCAACUGCCCUUUGCUCAAGCAAAGAGAGAGGGGGAUGAGGGUCUUUUUUGAAGGACUCUCUUUCCUUGUAGGUUUUUAAGCUGAGGUCAGAUGGCCAUCUGCCAUGGAUGCUUCUGUUGAGAUUCCUGCAUUGCCGGGGGUUGGGCUGGAGGACCUUCAGGGUCCCUUCCAACAUUACGAAUCUAUGAUCCUACGAGUGGCAAUUGUCGCACCAGCUUGCCCAACAACUUGCUGGUGUUUAUAUGACCACUAGGCCUGUUUCCCCCGCAUGCCUUGCUGUUGACCCUUUGCUCUUCCCGCCUGCCCUCCCCUCCAUGCAGAUUGGCUGGCAGAUGUCCCUCAGGGCUGCUGCAGCCAUGGCACAACCUCCUAAUCGUGCCUUCCUAGGAGGAACGCAGAUCGGGUCUUGCAAGGUUUCGAAGGGGAUUUGACACCGUCCAAAAUGGAUUCAUGCUGUCAGGCGGAUUUGCAAUUAACCCAACCAUCCUCUCUCCCCCCCACUCACCCCAAAUGCCCGCUUUGUUUCUCGCCAAAGGCGGGCAGAGACAAAGGCAUGUAGAUUGCGUUUCCCCAAUACAGCCUGCCAUUCUGGGGGGGCUCCCUGCACCCGCAAUAAUCUGACCUGGAUGAGAGAGACACUUGCAUUGGGCUGUGUUAAUUGUGACCUUUUCUUGCCAAGACCAUCUCUCCGCCGACAGCUGAGCCUCCGAUUCCAAACAGCCAGGGCUUAUUAACAUGACUUCUAAUCCCCUAACGACCCCCUGAUUGUUCAGACAUAUGGACGGCUCCUUCCCCCUUGCCAGAUGAACCCCCUACUUCCAUCCCACCCACCCCAGGAAAGCCUUUGCCUCUGACAAGGCUGACUUUGAAGUGAAGUGUCUGUCUGCACAGCAUCCCAGUUCAGUGGGAGUCCAUCAUAAAUAUCAGAUUACCAGCCCACCCACCCCCACCGCAUCCUCUGCCCCAUUUCCCCUCUUCUCCCCCCCGUCUCAUCUGUUUCCAACAGUGGGUUCGCAAAGCUGCUUGCCAGCUGCAUGCCCACUUUCCCAGGGCACAGAAAGGGAAGGGUGCACUCUCUGCAAAAAAGAUGCCGUCAAAGAGCUUGCGAUCAGGCGUCCCUCUCCAGUCCUCCUGGAGCAAUUCUAGGUUGCAGAAAUACAUGGGAAUGGAAGGCAAUGGAAGAGGGAGAGAGAGAAAGACAAAGGAUAAAAGAAAAGGGAUGGGAAGAAUGAAACGAAAUAGGAUUCCCAGGAGUAAUAAUAAUAAAUUUUAUUUAUACUCCGCCCUCCCCGGCCAGAGCCGGGCUCAGGGCAGCUAACACCAAUAAAAUCACAGUAAAAACAUAAUAGGGGGAAGAGAGAGAGAGAGAGAGAGAGAGAGAGAGAGAGAGAGAGAGAGAGAGAAACCAAUUUAAAAUACAGGUUAAAAUGCAAUUUAAAAUGCAGCCUCAUUUUAAAGCAGCCGAUAAAUCAAGACCAUAAGGAGAGGGAAACAUAAGGGUCAGACUGAGUCCAAACCAAAGGCCAGGCAGAACAGCUCUGUCUUGCAGGCCCUGCGGAAAGAUGUCAAGUCCUGCAGGGCCCUGGUCUCUUGUGACAGAGCGUUCCACCAAGUCGGGGCCAGUGCUGAAAAGGCCCUGGCCCUAGGUGAGACCAAUCUAACCACCUUGCGACUUGGGACCUCCAAAAUGUUGUCAUUUGUGGACCUUAAGGUCCUCCGUGGGGCAUAGCAGGAGAGGCGGUCCCGUAGGUACGUGGGUCCUAGGCCGCAUAGGGCUUUAAAGGUCAAAACCAGCACCUUAAACCUGGCCCUGUACUCCACCGGGAGCCAGUGCAGCUGGUAAAGCACUGAAUGAAUGUGAUCCCAUGGCAAGGACCCCGUGAGGAGCCUUGCCACAGCAUUCUGCACCCGCUGGAGUUUCUGGGUCAGCUUCAAGGGCAGCCCUAUGUAGAGCAGCGCAAACAUACACCCCUCAAGCCAGUGUGCAUUCUGCCUCCAGUGUGGUGUAGUGGUUAGGGUGUUGGACAAGAGCCCAGGAGGACAGGGUUCAAAUCCCCGCUUAUGCGAUGAGGCUCACUUGGUGACCACAAGCCAGUGCCUACCUCACAGGGUUGUUGCGAUGAUGAAACGGGAGGGGGGAAGGAGGAAUGCCACCUGGAGCUCUUUAGAGGAAAGGUGGGGCAGAAACUUUAUACGGCGAGUAGCAGUUGACAUGACAGAGGCUUAUAAAAUCAUCCAAGGAAAGGAGAACGGGGGGGGGGGGGGGAAUCACGAUACUGGGAUUCAUAGACAUCCAGUGAAGCUGAACGUUGGACGGUUUGGGACAGUGAACUUUGCACCGUGAAUUUCACUGCCCUCUAAAGCGGUCAUGGGAAUACCGUAUUUUUCGCUCCAUAAGACGCCCUUUUUUCCUCCUAAAAAGUAAGGGGAAAUGUCUGUGCGUCUUAUGGAGCAAAUGCGUGGUUCCUGGAGCUGAAUUGCCUAGGGGCAAAAAGCAGAUCGUGCUUUUUUUUUUUUUUAAGAACAAGGGAAGUGGGUGUUGAAACAAAGCUGCUGAGCAGCUGAUCGUCAAGCGGUUGGGAGGGAGAUAAGGGACUCUAGCGAUAAAGGAGGCUGCCUGGGAGGGAGGAGGUAAAAGCACAUGGAUCCUCAGAAUUUUUGCACUGGAUCACCCGAAAUUCACCAUCAGAUCACAUAGUAUGUCCAUGGCUAUAGCCUGCACCAAAAAAUCACGCAUCCACUGUUUCGUGGGGCCGCAAUGGCGCAAAAACUUGGUUACAAAGCACGGAUCCACAUGGAUCAUGCUUUGACUAUCUCCCUGGCCUUGACCUGUUCCUCUCCUGCCUUUGGCCUUGAAACAGAUCCUGUCUGAGAUCAGACCCUGCAGCAUUUAUUUGCCUACUUCUGAUGGACUGAAACAAAGCUCAAAGAAAAGAAAGAAAUAUUAUGGGAGUAUGUGUGUGUGUGUGUGAGAGAGAGAGAGAGAGAGAGGGAGAGAGAGAGAGAGAGAGAGAGAGAGAGAGAGAGAGAGAGAGAGAGAACAGAAUUUGCGAGAUGGUGACUUGAUGGAAAGGAUACAGGCGAGGGGGGGGGUGGGCGGGUGCAGCUUGACCACUUGAGGAAACUCAGUGGAUCUUCCUGGAGGCGAGGGGUGUAUGUCGCCAAGGCAGAUGCUGUACAUCUGGCAGCUGGGAAUGCUGUCUUGGGAACCCCAGAAGACAGUCUAUAACUGGCAAAGAUCAGCAUUCACAACUAGCUCUCUGUUUCCUGCACAGCCUUUUGCUUACCAGAUGUGUCCUCGCCUCAUCUAUUUUCCUCUGCUUGCUGCCCACCCCUCCACACACACAAUGCAGUCCAACAACAAAUGAUUCUCCCAGGAUGAGCACAGCUCAGAAAUGGCCUGUAAGAUUUAUUCCAAAGACAGCAAAAGUGAAGUGUGUUUUGGGACACAGAUGGACCUUCAUCGGGAGGAUUGUAGUACAUUCUUCUUCUUCUUUGCCGAUCCCUCGUAGCCGAAUAAGAUUGUCGUCCAUAAACACACUUUUAACAACGAGUCCGUAAGUGACUGUGGUGGCCAAUUCUGGACCCACGCAUCCUUCCAUAUUGGGGACAUUGGUUCCCGGGCGGGAGUUGAUCACGGUGUGGGUUUGCCAAGCGUGCCUUCCUCUUAGCACCUUUCUCCCUUCCGUCCUGAGUUCAAGCAUCUUCAAAACCCAUGACACCUUUGGUAAAGGCUGCUGUCCAACUUGAGUGCUCGCAGGCCAGUGUUUCCCAGUUGUCAGUGUUUAUACUACGUUUUUUUAGAUUUGCCUUGAGACAGUCUUUAAACCUCUUUUGUUGACCACCAGCAUUACGCUUUCCAUUUUUAAGUUCAACAUAGAUACUGCUUCAUAACCAGGCAGACCUUUGGUCCGAUAUAAAGCGGUAUUGAAAUGAAUAAUAAUAAUAAUCUAGCUUAGUAUUGUCUACACGGCCUAGCAGCACCUCUCCAGAAUUUCAGGCAGAAAUGCUGGAGGUGCUGGGGCUUAAACCAGCUUUUCACCUUGCCUUGAGGUCUGUUCUGUGGUCUGAAUGUUGGGAUGGUGCAAACUCUGAACGUACAAGGGAGGUGGGAUCUAGACACAUAUAAAAAAAGUUGCGAAAAUGCUUUUUAAAAAAAAGUUUUGAAAAAGAUAUGGAAUUGGCCAUAGCUCGCCAUCGCCAUCCAGUGUCGCAUUUGUGUAAUGCACUUUACAACACACCGGAAAGGUUUUAUAUGUAGCUGUAUAGCUGAGCCCAGAGUCAAAACCAGCACCUCCCCUUAAAAAAUAAAUAAAUCUUGUUUAUUCAGUAUUUGUAUUUUCUUCACCUCCUCAACCAAACAUGAAAAAGGGCAAGAAUUCAUUCCAGACAGCCCAGAUGGUUGUCUGUUUGAGGACUCUGACUAAUGCCAACUCCAGAUGGCCUUUAAAGCACACUCCUUCUCAUUGCUCCCCUUUUAGAACAAACCCCCAGGGGCCAUCCCAUAUCUUUCCAGGAUAUGGAAGACAAUACUCCUCUCCAACUACCCUCUAAAGGGAAGAACAGGAUGAUGAUGGGUCCUUACCUUAACCCUUUCCAAGAGCCUGCAGGGUUGUUCAGUGGAUUUUAUUCUACAAGGUCACCAGUGCAAGGAACUCUGGCUCCCCCUUUCCCCUUUUAGUUCUGCACAUAGAUUAUUCAUUUUUAAAGCAUAGUUCACCGAGACUCAGGGCCCUUCCAGGUGGCCUGUAUGUUGUGAAGGACAGAGAGAAGGGCAAGUUAAAAGGAAAAAAGCAUUGCAAACUCAAGUCUGUGGAACUCUCUUCCACUGGAGGCAGUGAGGACCAGCAGCUUAGUUGGCUUUCAAAGAAGAUUGGACUAAGAAAUAGGGAAAUCGAAAAGAACAUUGUUCAUGUACGGAAUAACGGCGGCCAGAAUUUUAGUAGCAAGAAAUUGGAAAAACACAACAAUACCCAACACGGAAGAUUGGUAAAUCCUAAUCGUAGAAUAUCUGCAGCUAGCGAAAGCGACAGGAAUAGUAAGAGGCCAACCAAAACAAAAAGUCUAUAAGGAUUGGAGAAUCUUUAAAGAAUAUUUAGAAAACCAUGGAAUAAAAGGAAACAUC